GACGUAGGGAGCGAGCGUUGUCCGGAUUCAUUGGGCGUAAAGGGUGCGUAGGCGGCGCGGUAAGUCGGGUGUGAAAUCUCGGAGCUUAACUCCGAAACUGCAUUCGAUACUGCCGUGCUUGAGGACUGGAGAGGAGACUGGAAUUUACGGUGUAGCGGUGAAAUGCGUAGAUAUCGUAAGGAAGACCAGUGGCGAAGGCGGGUCUCUGGACAGUUCCUGACGCUGAGGCACGAAGGUCAGGGGAGCAAACGGG
rnacentral:rRNA from 1 species